GGAAACCCCUAAGAUACCCUCAGAGGGAUGAGCAGCAGCACCCAACAACCAGCUCCAGGACCCAGGGGCAGGGAGAAGCAAAGCCCCUCUUAGAUGCCCAUCACCUUAUCCAGAAAAGGAGCCCUGUCCUUAACACCUCCAAAUCCAGCAGGCUGGGACAGUGGUGCAACAGUAGUGAGCCAGUUUUGACCACGAGGAUGGGGACAACAGGCAGGGGAAGAGCAGAACAACAGCAUAGAAGAAAAGCCACCUGCCUACCCUGAGUCAAUCUCCAGGAUAUUAUAUGAAUGAGAAAUAAACCCCUU
rnacentral:lncRNA from 1 species